UUAUUGCAACGGUCGGAAGCGGCGAGCUUUGCCUUUUUGCAAAUAUUUUAAGGAAACAGUGGAAAGUUCAAAGUAGAUGGAUUUUUAUUUUUUUUAAGAAGAUCUGGAGAGGUCAAACGAUUGGUGUUUUUUGCGGAUCGAGAUUUCCUGGAACUACCCUCGUUUGGAAAAGACUUUCUUUUGCCUUCCUUUUAAUCUAUGUAAGCAGUCAGUGAGCUGAAUGGACUGGGGCAAAAGGUAGUUUGAAAAUAAAGCCUGAAAUUAAUUGAAAAACCUGAAACUACUUCUUUCUGAUUGCAAGCGACAGCCAUGCUUUCUGCAUUCAUGUGGAACUGAAUGUAACAGAGUUGUACUAAGAAAGUUUUCUGGCCAAGAGGAAGAAACAUGAAGCAAGAAGAACAUAAGGAACUUAUUGAGACUAAGCCUUAGAGAAACCACUGCAGUCUGUUCUCAAUUCCCCGUUUCACAUUCCUGAUAUGACCCAUGGACUAUAGUUGAAAACUGAAGAGCAAUUAUGUUUAUGAUCUCCAUUCUCCGAGCUGAAACAGCAUCUCCACUCUGCAGCAUCACUUGCCCUAGAUCUUUUAUUAUCAUCUAAUGAUGAUGAUAAUGAAAUCUGUGGUUCUAAAUCAUACCGCGGUGCGGCAAGUAGAGUUGAACAAGGGCCUGGAAGACCACGGCUGAACUCUCCACUCAGUCAUGAAGCUCACUGGGUGACCUAGGGCCAGUCACUAACUCUCAGCUAAUCUUCCUCACAGAGUUGUCAAGAUGGUGGGGGAACCAAUUAUGCCUCCUUGAGCUCCACAGAGGAAAGGCAGGAUGUAAGUAAGUAAAUAAAUAAAUACUACAUCCAGGUAUUUAAAAUUAACCAAACUGUAGACUAGGUUACAUUUUCUUCAAAGCAAGAUGGUACAAAAGAGUUCUUAUAUUAUGGGCAUUGUACCCAAAGUUAUUUCAGUCAGGACUUGAGAGCAAAAAGAGUAGUGUUUUGGUGUCAUCAUCUUCCUUCCUUAUAGACUAGGGCAAGCAACAUAUUGGCAUCAUGGAAGGCUCCCCACUUAUCUUACAUAAUUUCACUUUGCUAUGAAAGAGCCAAAAAUGGCACUUAAAUAUGAAGAGCAAGCAAAUAUUAUUGGUAAUGUGACAGAAAGGAAGUUGCCAUCAUGAUUUUUUACUCUGGGAUAAGGCCAGCUGCCUUUUGGUCAAAAUACAGAGCGGACUUUAUGUUCUAAGAUCCAGAGGAAAAACUCUUUUCCAUCUCAAAUACAUUCCUUCAGCUUGCACAGAAACGGAUUUGGAGUUUGCUGCUUUAACAUGAACAUAAUCCCCCCACCCCCCACCCCCCAAAUGCCCCCUGCAACUUAACAUGUUGCUUUAGGACGGCUCCACUAGGCAGUAGGAUUCCAUAUGUGCCGUAAUGUUUGUGUUUCUAAGCAAUGCCUUGGUGACCACAUUAGGGGUGCCGAAAUAGAAAAAGAAAAAGGAAAGGGCUGUUUUUUAAUUUUCUGUUUCUGGCUAUCUCCAUUGGAAAAUAGAAAGGGGGGGUGGGAGGUGGUCUGUACUGGCACAGCAUGUGCUGAAAGGAAUGUCCCUCAUAGGCCAAAUUGUAUACAGAUCCCACCAAUAAAACUUUGCGGCAUGCAUGCCUAUUUUUAAAAAUGAAUGGAUUUCAUUGGGAUUAAUUCAGGAGAAGGGAAAAUAUUAAUUCUCAGACACAGGAGAUCUGGAACAAAAUUUCUUGUCAUUAUGAAAUCAGCAGGUGUUGGACAGGGAUGUUUUUUGAGUCUGCCAAAGUAUCUCCAACAGCUUAGUCUUUGGGGACAUUUUUGUUUAACUUUUGAGCAAGUUGCUUCACAAACGUUACUAAACCAAAGACAUUCAUGAACAAGCAAACAGAUUACUCAGGCAUGCUGACCAAAAAAAUUCUUUACAUGUUAAAACCUCCUUGAGGCUUAUGGAAUGGCUCCCUUUUUAUCGAGUGGGCUUUGGAUCAAGCACUGAGACCACAGAGCAAACAAAGAGAAAGACUUUUUCACACAAUGCACAAUUAAGCUAUGUAAUUCAUGGCACUGCAGUGUUGCAUAAGUUUCUUCCACGAGGGGAGAAUUUUAGGAAGACCAGCCCAUCAAUAGCUGAUAUUUUUGUAGAGACACUUUAUGUAUCACUUAAUCUCUGACUGGUGGAAACUUGCUGUGAAUGGCAGAAGAAUCUACAUCGGCUUUUCUCAGACAACCGACCCAAUUCCACAGUCCCGAACUUACUCCCGGUUCAAAAUGCAACUCCAACUACACCCUUCUUGAGAUUUUGUAGUUUUGGUGCACAGAAAGUGUAUGCAUGCAAAAAUAAGUAUUUUGUGGUAAAAAUAUGUAUCUUACAGAGAAAGAUUAUCACAAAAAGGUGUGUGAUCAUGUCUAUAAGUUAUAGGCAGAAUUGUUGCAUUCUUUUUCUUUUUUUAAUCUGCCCAAAAUGAAACAAAACAGGCCCAUGAUUGAAUGCUAGAGAUUGAAUGCUAGGGUUUAGGGGAGUGUGACUGGUUCAGUCAUACUGGGUGCAGAGCCUUGGGGGCAUUG